GGCUUAAUGAGUAUAAUUUUAAGUCAAUCUGCCUAAUGAUGAAAUAUUUAAUGGCUCCAGUAUAACUGACUGUACAAAGGUAGCAUAAUCAAUUGUUUUUUAAUUGGAAACUGGGAUGAAAGAAUUAAUGAGAUAUAUACUGUCUCAUAUAUAUGUUAUUAAAUUAAAUUUUUAGUAAAAGUGCUGAAAUAAAUUUAUGGGACGAUAAGACCCUAUAGAAUUUAAUAUUAAAAUUUAAAUUGGAUUUAAUUUUAGAUUUUAAUAUUUAGUUGGGAGGAUUGGUAAAUUUGAUAAACUUUAUUUUAAACAUGAACUUUGAUUAAAGAAUGUUUAAUGAUUUUGUAUUAUAGAUCAUAAGAAAAAAUUACCUUAGGGAUAACAGCGUAAUAUCUUUUUUAAGAKCAAAUUAAUAAAGGUGAUUGCGACCUCGAUGUUGAAUUAAGAUAAAUUUUAAAUGGAGAAGUUUAAAAAUUAAGUCUGUUCGACUUUUAAAAUCUUACAUGAUUUGAGUUCAAAU
rnacentral:rRNA from 1 species